GUUUGGAUUUGGCUCAGAUUGAACGCUGGCGGGAUGCUUUACACAUGCAAGUCGAACGGCAGCACGGACUUCGGUCUGGUGGCGAGUGGGCGAACGGGUGAGUAAUGUAUCGGAACGUGCCUAGUAGCGGGGAUAUCUGACAGCGAAAGCGUAGCUAAUACCGCAUACGCUCCUUCGGGGGAAAGCGGGGGACCUCUGGGCCUGCAAUUGCUUAGAGCGGCCGAUAUCGGAUUAGCGAAGGUGGGGUGCAACGGCUCACCAAGGCGACGAUCCGUAGCCAUUUGAGGACGACCAGCCACACUGGGACUGAGACACGGCCCAGACUCCUACGGGAGGCAGUGGGGAAUUUUGGACAAUGGGGGAAACCCUGAUCCAGCCAUCCCGCGUGUGCGAUGAAGGCCUUCGGGUUGGGGUGCCACUUUGGCAGAAGAAACGGCACGGGAUGAACCCGUGCAACUUCGACGGUACCUUAUGAAUAAGCACUGCCAACUACGUGCCAGCAGCCGCGGUAAUACGUAGGGUGCAAGCGUUAAUCGGAAUUACUGGGCGUAAAGUGCGCAGGCGGUUCGGAAAGAAAGAUGUGAAAUCCAGAGCUUAACUUUGGAACCGCAUUUUUAACUACCGAGCGAGAGGCUUGUAGAGGGAGGUGGAAUUCCGCGUGUAGCAGUGAAAUGUGUAGAUAUGGAGGAACACCGAUGGCGAAGGCAGCCUCCUGGGAUAACACUGACGCUCAUGCACGAAAGCGUGGGGAGCAAACAGGAUUAGAUACCCUGGUAGUCCACGCCCUAAACGAUGUCAACUAGCUGUUGGGGCUCUCGGGCCUGGUAGCGCAGCUAACGGUGAAGCUUGACCGCCUGGGGAGUAUUAAUGGUCGCAAGAUUAAAAACUCAAAGGAAUUGACGGGACCCGUACGCUGUGGAGAUGGGAUUAAUCUUGACGCACGCGAAAAACCUUACAUCUACCCUUGACAUGUCUGAUCCCGAAGAGACGCUGGGAGUGCUCGGGUAAGAACCGGAACACAGGUGCUGCAUGGCUGUACGUCAGCUCGUGUCGUGAGAUGUUGGGUUAAGUCCCGCAACGAGCGCAACCCUUUGUCAUUAGUUGCUGCCGAAAGGGCACUCUCAGAUCAGGAUCGCCGGUGGACAAACCGGAGGAAGGGGAUGACGUCAAGUCCGGCCCUGGCGGCAGGGGUCUUCACAUCGUCAUACAAUGGUCGGGACAGAGGGUCGCCAACCCGCGAGGGGGAGCUAAUCCCAGAAACCCGAUCGUAGUCCGGAUCGCAGUCUGCAACUCCGACUGCGUGAAGUCGGAAUCGCUAGUAAUCGCGGAUCAAAGGCGUCGCAGUGAAUACGUUCCCGGGUCUUGUACACACCGCCUGUCACACCAUGGGAGUGGGUUUUACCAGGCAGUUAGCCUGUCCGCGAGGGCGAUUACCACGGUGAGAUUCAUGGACUGGGUGAAGCCGGUCAAGGCAG
rnacentral:rRNA from 1 species